AGUGAACGCUGGCGGCAGGCCUAACACAUGCAAGUCGAACGGCAGCACAGAGGAGCUUGCUCCUUGGGUGGCGAGUGGCGGACGGGUGAGGAAUACAUCGGAAUCUGCCUAUUUGUGGGGGAUAACGUAGGGAAACUUACGCUAAUACCGCAUACGACCUACGGGUGAAAGCGGAGGACCUUCGGGCUUCGCGCAGAUAGAUGAGCCGAUGUCGGAUUAGCUAGUUGGCGGGGUAAAGGCCCACCAAGGCGACGAUCCGUAGCUGGUCUGAGAGGAUGAUCAGCCACACUGGAACUGGGACACGGUCCAGAGUCCUACGGGAGGAAGCAGUGGGGAAUAUCGGACAAUGGGCGCAAGCCGGAUCCAGCCAUGCCGUGUGGGUGAAGAAGGCCUUCGGGUUGUAAAGCCCUUUUGUUGGGAAAGAAAAGCAGUCGGUUAAUACCCGAUUGUUCUGACGGUACCCAAAGAAUAAGCACCGGCUAACUUCGUGCCAGCAGCCGCCGUAA
rnacentral:rRNA from 1 species